GUGUGAGGGUUAUAAGCAAACCCAUCCUUUACAGCCGAAAUGCGAAUACUCGUCCUCUGGAUUGUUUGGGGAGCCUUUCUGAUAGACCUGGGUCGUGGAGAUUCUGUCACUCAGACGGUGUCCUCAGAAGUGAAGACAGAAGGAGAGGAGGUGACUUUCAUCUGCAGCUAUGAUACGACAGAAAGCGACUACUUUUUACAUUGGUACCGGCAACUGUCGUACUCAAUACCUGAGUUCAUACUGAGCCACUUUUCAGGUGGACGUGAAGAUAAAGCAGAUUUUGCCCAAAGUCGCUUCACUGGCCAUUUCAACAAGGAAAGAAAAUUCACCAGUUUGAACAUCUCAUCGCUGCAGCUGAGCGACUCUGCAGUUUAUUACUGCGCCUUCCGCCGCACAGUGAUGGAAACCAGUUAA